CACGGGAAGGCCGCUCUUCAAAGGCAACGAUCACCUGGACCAGCUCACAGAAAUAAUGAAAGUAACAGGCACACCAACUCAAGAUUUUGUUCAGAAACUGCAAAGCCAAGAUG